rnacentral:rRNA from 1 species
UACGGGGGGGUGCGAGCGUUGUCCGGAAUCACUGGGCGUAAAGGGCGCGUAGGUGGCUUGGCAAGCGCGUGGUGAAAGCCCCGGGGCUCAACCCCCGGGUCUGCCGUGCGAACUGCUAUGGCUUGAGCACUGUAGAGGCAGGUAGAAUUCCGGGUGUAGCGGUGGAAUGCGUAGAGAUCCGGAAGAAUACCGGUGGCGAAGGCGGCCUGCUGGGCAGUGGCUGACACUGAGGCGCGACAGCGUGGGGAGCAAACAGG